CUACGGACUUAAGGAAUUGAGCCUUGAGAGAGAAAUCUUUCAAGUGUAAGCUCUCAAACUCAGGGAAACCUAAAUCUCAAAGCUAGACAAGGCAAUCCUGAGCCAAGCCAAAACAACAAAGCGUGAUGCUUGCUGUUUUGGAAGGUGCAGAGACUCGACGGGAGCUACCCUAACAGACUAAAGCUGAGGGUAAAGAGAGAGUCCAAUUCUCGAACGUUAUUCAAUA
rnacentral:ncRNA from 1 species